rnacentral:rRNA from 1 species
GACGAACGCUGGCGGCGUGCUUAACACAUGCAAGUCGAACGGAAAGGCGCUGCUUUUGUUGGUUGCUCGAGUGGCGAACGGGUGAGUAACACGUGAGUAUCCCGUCCUUGUAUUUGGGGUAACUUCAGGAAACUGGGGCUCUUACCGGAUAGGAGCUCCUGCUGCAUGGUGGGGGUUGGAAAGUUUCGGCGGUUGUGUAUGGACUCGCGGCUUAUCAGCUGGUUGGUGGGGUAGUGGCUUACCAAGGCUUUGACGGGUAGCCGGCCUGGGAGGGUUACCGGCCACAUUGGGACUGAGAUACGGCCCAGACUCCUACGGGAGGCAGCAGUGGGGAAUAUUGCACAAUGGGCGGAAGCCUGAUGCAGCAACGCCGCGUGCGGGAUGACGGCCUUCGGGUUGUAAACCGCUUUCGCCUGUGACGAAGCGUGAGUGACGGUAAUGGGUAAAGAAGCACCGGCUAACUACGUG